rnacentral:rRNA from 1 species
CGCGAAUGGCUCAUUAUAACAGCUAUAAUUUACUUGAUCUUGACACAAUCCUACUUGGAUAACUGUGGUAAUUCUAGAGCUAAUACAUGCAUUAAAGCUCUGACCUCACGGGAAGAGUGCAUUUAUUAGAACAAAACCAAGCGGCUUCGGCUGUUUCUGGUUGACUCAUAGUAACUGAGCUGAUCGCAUGGUCUUGUACCGGCGACGUGUCUUUCAAGUAUCUGCCGUAUCAACUUUCGAUGGUAGUGUAUCUGACUACCAUGGUGAUCACGCGUAACGGAGAAUAAGGGUUCGACUCCGGAGAGUUCGCCUGAGAAAUCACGAACACAUCUAAGGAAGGCAGCAGGCGCGAAAAUUACCCACUCUCAGCACGAGGAGGAGUGACGAAAAAUAACGAGACCGUUCUCUUUCGAGGCCGGUCAUCUGAAUGGGUACAAUUUAAACCCUUUAACGAGUAUCUAUGAGAGGGCAAGUCUGGUGCCAGCAGCCGCGGUAAUUCCAGCU